rnacentral:other from 1 species
GUUUCAGACGAACCCAUGGGGGUUUGAAGC